CCUACGGGAGGCAGCAGUGGGGGAUAUUGGACAAUGGGGGGAACCCUGAUCCAGCGACGCCGCGUGAGUGAAGAAGUAUCUCGGUAUGUAAAGCUCUAUCAGCAGGGAAGAAGAAAUGACGGUACCUGAGUAAGAAGCCCCGGCUAACUACGUGCCAGCAGCCGCGGUAAUACGGAGGGGGCAAGCGUUAUCCGGAAUUACUGGGGGUAAAGGGAGCGUAGACGGUGAUGUAAGUCUGGAGUGAAAGGCGGGGCCCAACCCCCGGACUGCUCUUGAAACUAUGUGACUGGAGUGCAGGAGAGGUGAGGGGAAUUCCUAGUGGAGCGGUGAAAUGGGGAGAUAUUAGGAGGAACACCAGUGGCGAAGGCGGCUCACUGGACUGUAACUGACGUUGAGGCUCGAAAGGGUGGGGAGCAAACAGGAAUAGAUACCCUAGUAGUC
rnacentral:rRNA from 1 species